rfam:Crassostrea gigas strain 05x7-T-G4-1.051#20 contig21527, whole genome shotgun sequence.
GUUGGUUAUGGUGACAUGCGGCCAAUUGGAUUUUGGGGAAAAUUGGUUGGAUCUCUCUGUGCCAUUGCUGGGGUGUUAACAAUUGCAUUGCCUGUGCCUGUCAUCGUCUCCAAU